UGUAGGCCACGAGGGUAAGAAGGGGAACUAGCUCAGUGUAAUCUGCAGAGAGGAGGCAGCUACAGGUCUAAAGAAAGGAUAUCAAAAAUAAUGCCAGCCGCAGAUGCCCACCCUUCUGGAAGGACAGGCAACUUUCCUUGCAGGCUGUUUGUGACACUGGAAAGGCUACUUGAAAAAGACAAAUGAUUCACAUACAAAGUAACGAGCCAAACUUCCACAAGAACAGCAAAUUAUAGUAGAAAAAUGGAGCAACUUCUCCUUUUCUUCAGUUCAAUCAGUCAGCUCAGUGUUAGCACUGAGCUCCCUAGUUUACUCAACUGCUUUGCAAAUCUGUGCUCCCUUGGGGACAGGGCCUCUAUCACGGCAUUCUCAGGAGUCCAGCAGUUGCCAUCAGAUUGUAAGUUCUUUACGAACAGAGGAUUGAAAAAUCAGAUUGCCCAAAUCAUUCACAGAGCCUAAAUUUCAUUGAACUGCAUUCUUUCUAACCAGGUAAGGGAAACCACAGAAUUGCCAGGCGGGAGAACAUAGUUCUUCACAUCACAGGUUCUAGUGACAAAGUGCAAAUUCUGCCACUCAACAUGUGUGUGACCAUGGACAAGCUCGAGCUUCAACCUGUGCACUGGCAAAAUGGGUGCAAUGAAAAUGCCCACCUCAGAAGGCACUGUGAAUGCGUAAGAACAUGUAUGUGAUGCUUGCGGUGUGGCCCUUCGCAAAAAGGAAGGGUUCAAGAAAUACUGGUAUAGUGCUGUUGUUAAACAUUUAAAAAGUUGAGAAACAUUCAUUUCAUUUUUGUUUCAGUACUAUUAAAAGAAAUCAUCUCAGCUUGAGUUAGAGACUCAUGACUUCCUUAUAGAAGAAAACAGUGUUUUCAAACUCAGCAUACAGAAUUGUGAUGCUAUAUACACAGAGGGCACUAUUUCAGGUAUACAGGACAGCUAAGGAAAACGAUUGAGAUUUUUAAAGCAUAUUAUGGGAUAGCCCCCAAAUGAGUAUAAAUCAGGAGUGUUGGUAACACUCUAUCUCUCAUAACUGCCAUGAUGAUGAACAUCUACAUAAAUAUACUAUUAACAUAAAUAUUCAUUCAUUCCUUGAGAUAUUUAUCAAUCCCAUACUAUUUUUGGUAAUUAUUUGCAGUGCUAGAGAUUAAACCCAGGCCCUUGCACAAGCUAGGUGAGCAUCCUACCACUAAGUUCCACUGCCAGCCCAGGCACUUGAGCUUGUGAUCCAGUUAGUAAGCUGGAUGAGGCUGCCUGAUCUCUUGGAACUUACAUUCCAACAUGAAGUGAAGUUCACCUACAAGCAAGUAUCUACUUAGUCAUUCCCUCCUUUAACAGCCAAUGACAGUGCAUCCUUCAAUCACACCAGAAUCUGUAUUGCUCCUAAAGACCUUCAUUUUUUUAAAUUGACUCUUAAUCCCUUUGAUUCACACUGGCAUCUGCAAUAGAGACUGAAUAUAAUGUGCCUCUCAGAUCUGAGGAAAUACCAAAGUUACUAUUAAGGCUAAGCACAAAAUUACAACAGUGAAGCACCUUAUUUUUAUAAUGAAGUAGAGGGGUAAUUAUCAGCUUUAGUCUUACAUGUGCUAACCAAAAAUAUAACAGGAUAUGAUGUCACUUUUUUUCAUUUUUUGUUUGCUAGAGUAGACAAGCAGUUUCUCUCUCUUCCCUAUGGAGACUGCUUUCCCAUGAAGUCCUGAAAUAAAGAACCUUCUCCUGAGAAUGGGUAUUAUUUGCAUAUGACUCUUUCCCUCUCAGUUACAUGCAAAUAACAAGAGAUUUACAAACCAGGUAGAAUUUUAAAGUUAAUGAAAGUGUGCUUUGUGAGAACAACAUGAACGCUUUUCAAAAUGGUGGGAUAACACAGGAAGGAAGUAAUUUAUGAGGUUAUUUUUAGCUAAAAUAAAAGGGGGAGGCUGAAAAGCCUUUGGAGUUCUGCAUGCAGGUGUACUAAUGAGCGGGGUCCUUUUCUACCUGGCUGCGAUGAGAUCCAGGAGAUGCUGCCAGCGGUCAUUGACCUUUCCUAGCUUGUACUCAAUCUCAGAUGCUUUGGUCUCGUGGCUGGCUUUGGCAAGUCGUUCUCCCAUUUGCUGGAGCUGUAUUUUGUUCUCCUGGGCAACAGCAAUUUCCUCUUGGUAAUCCUGCAUAAUAAAUAGCAAUCACAGAGGUCAAAAAGUGUAUUCUUAAUGCAUUCAUUCAACUUCUCUAGAAACAUGGUAAUUAUAGUUUUCCACUGAUUGGAAGUAAUUGGGCAUGAGGAACACCAUGUGAAAAUCAGUCCAUGUGCACAAGAAUGCAUUACUAGUGUGUGACUAUUAUUUUCACACUAGUCUGGAUUAAGUCUUUCAAAAAUGAUUCAUUGAUUGAUUGUGGUAUGAGAAUUGAACCUAUGGCCUUUGCACUGAGCUCCAUUUCUGGCCAUCACUCCCCCAACUUUAAUUUUGGGAGUCUUUCAAACUACUAACUUGCUCAGGCUUGGUUCACGGUUCAAACUGGCAACUCUCCUGAAUCUCCCUCUCAGAGUGAUAGGAUUACAGAUGUGCGUCACCACAUUCAGCUCAGAUUAAUUUUAUGCAGAUAUUCUUGGAGGGAUAAGGAGAUGCCUUCUGUUACUUAACAAGGUCAUUAAAACAACAGAAACACAUAGAUACAAAAUGAAGGCCUUAAUGGUGGGAAACUAUAUUUUAUUGUUCAAUCUCUAAUCUGGUGAUAUAUUUAAAAUCAAUCCUUGUAGAAAUAGUUCACAAAAAGCUUACGAUAUAACCAUUUCUAUUUCUUUUCCAAAUGAAUAAAACCACAAUUCAUGCAUUCAAUAAAAGCAAAGUAAAAAGUUCUUUUAAAUUUUUUUAUUAGAACAUGUUUGCAAUACAUGCUUUCCACAUUCUUGUGAGGAUUUGGUAUGCAACACAUCUUAAUUCCUUUUUUCAUCUUCUUCCUUCCUUCCUUCCUUCCUUCCUCCCUUUCUCCUUUCUUCAUCUCUUGAUCUUCCCAUUUGAAAAGAUUUAUCUUCUUAUUUCCUGUUACCUAUCUUUUAUUUUGCUCUUAUUUAUAAUUUAGGUUUCUCAUACUGGAGAAAGCAUGUACUAUUUAAGCUUGUGUGUCUGAUUUAUUUCACUUAACAUUGUUUCAAGUUGCAUCCAUUUUCUUACAAGUGACUUAAAUCUAUCUUUAUGGCAGAGUAUUACUCCAUUGUGUGUAAAUACAUUUUAUUUGUCUACUCAGGUGUUGAUGGAUGUAUAGGCUGCUUCCAAGAUUUAGCUAAUAUGAAUUUUGCCACUAAACACAUGGGUAUGUAUGUGCUAGUGUAAUAUGAUGACUUUAACGUUGUUGGAAAGAGAUCUAGAAGGGGAAGCUGGGUCAAAGCUAUUCCCCUUCUAGAAGUUCUGAAUUCUUAAAAGAAGUUGAGCACUACUCUGGAUGUAGGGAGCUAGCAAUGAAGAAGACAAAGUCCAGGCUUCAGGGGCCCUUGCUGCCCCAUGGGGCUUCCAUUCUACAUAGAUGCCAAGGGAGUAAAUAUGAAAAGCACACCCUACAUCAGAUGGUGAUAGGUACUAACCAAAAACAAACUAAAAUGACACCAAAUUGAUUCUUUGUUCAAAAAUAAUGUGGAAACUUUAAUGAAAUUAUCAAAAUAUUUCCAAAUGAUACUCAAUUUGAUCAGUCCUAUAUGGAUAUGAAAAAUAUCUGGCUCCAAAUGCAUAUAUAAAAUUUUAAAAUUUGUAUUUAACUCAAAAAGUAACAGGAGACCAAAAUUCUCAACAAAGUCUUUCAUUAAUAUUGAUGGACUAUAGACCAUGUUUUACAGAGAAAAUUUCAGUUAAUUUACCCUAGUAACACUUUUCUUUUAGCUCCUCUCUAGUGAUUUUUUUGUCUCUUUAAAAACAGAAAAGCAAAAUAAGAGAAAACUGAUGCAAAUGAUUCCUGCUCAAAGAUAGCAGAUAAUGUAUUUCAUCACAAAUUGAAAGUAUUCUAUAUAUUUGUAUAUAAAGUGGGCCUUCUCAUGCAAUCCUAUUUCUCAUUUUAAAAAUUAAACUAAAUAAAUAUAGCGUUCUUUUGACAAGACAGUAACUGUAAAACCAUCUCCUGUGCCAGGUGGAAGGAUACCAAAGCAUUCUGUAGCAUGGAAACCUGAGCCACCAGGCAUACUCACCUUCUUGAGCUUCUCUAUCAUUUCCUCAAUGAGGAUGUCUCCAUUCUGGGAAACUUUGCUUUCCAUCUGGGUCAGCCACUCACAGAGCUCCUUGUUCUUUUCACUGAAGACUGCCCAUUCAUUCAGUCUUUCACCUACUUGCUGUCGCCUUAAGGAGACCUGGAAAGUGGGAGAAUAUGCACAAGGAUAAUGAUGCUGAUGCUGAUGCUGAUGCUGGCUGGACUAAAACGAGCAAGGGUUGUGCAUCCCUUGAGGCCACUGCUGCCUGAAAUACAGAACUGGCCAUCUGAUUUUGGUAUACUAUGAAUAAUGUGGUUACAAACCUACAGGCACAAAUGGACAUGGUUUCAUUUCUCGAUAUAUACCUAGAAGUAUAGCUGCUGGAUUAUAGAUGUUUUCCAAACAGUAGCAGCAUCUUACAAUUUCACCAGCAGUGCAGUUCAAUUUUUCUUCACCCUUUUCUGUACUUAUUAUUGCUUUUUUUUUUUUUUUUUUUUUUUUUUUUGGUUACGGCCAUGCUAGUGAGAAUGUCGUGCUGUCUUACUGUGGUUUUGAUGGGCAUUUUCGUAACGACUUUCAUAACAUGAUGUUGACAAAUUUAUGUUUCAUGGCCAUUUGUAAGAGGUAUGCUCAAAAUAUAUAGUAAAUGUUUACAUUAAAAACAUUAUUACAGUAAAAGACACACUGCCAUUAAUCCCCUUCAAAAUAUGCCUCAGUUCAAAUAUAUUUACCCCAUCAUUUUUGUCACUUUCUGAAGCAGUUCUGGCAGUGUUCUUUAAUAUCUUCACAUGAUGUGAUCAAAAAUAUGGCAAAUGCUGCCACUGAGUGCCACUCAACAGAAAAGCAGGCUUGUAAGAAAACUAUGGUAUGUCUUUAUCUACCUGCACACUGGAUGUGGCACCAUACAACUUUUAUCUCUUCCCCAAGAUCAACGGCCUUGAAAAGACAAGUGUUUUACAUCCAUUCAAAGCAUGGAGCCAGUCAUAAGAGAAUAGCUACAGACACUCAGGAAAGAAGCUACUUUGGAAAGUGGAAAGAAUGGUGGAAUAGGUUGUUCAAGUGAGGGGGAGGAUUCUGAAGGGGAUUAAUGUUAAUGUGACUCCUACUGUAAGAUUUUUAAAAAUUUAAAUGUUCAUUGAAUUUUUAAAUCAUACCUCAUAUAUAUUCUUUGUAGAAUCUAUCAAGUUAAUUCCCUUCCCUCAUUAAAAGUUGAGCUUUUUUUUA